rnacentral:rRNA from 1 species
UAGCGGAGAGUUUGAUCCUGGCUCAGGAUGAACGUUGGCGGUGUGCCUAAUACAUGCAAGUCGAACGGAGUUAAUAGCAAUAUUGACUUAGUGGCGAACGGGUGAGUAACGCGUUGGUGAUCUGCCUCAAAGUGUGGAAUAACGUUCCGAAAGGAACGCUAAUACCGCAUGUGCUCUCGAUUUUUAGAAAGUUGAGAGUAAAGGAUUUAUUCGCUUUGAGAGGAGCCUGCGUCCCAUCAGCUAGUUGGUAGGGUAAUAGCCUACCAAGGCUUUGACGGGUAGGGGACCUGAGAGGGUGGCCCCCCACAAUGGAACUGAAACACGGUCCAUACACCUACGGGUGGCAGCAGUAGGGAAUAUUAGAAAUGG